rfam:Myotis davidii contig18957, whole genome shotgun sequence.
GGUGGUUCUCAGGUGACAUGCCCCGGAAUCAAACUUCCUCCUUUUUGGUUCUGGGUGUGUCACCCAAAAACCGCA